rnacentral:rRNA from 1 species
CGGACGGGUGAGUAAUGUCUGGGAAACUGCCUGAUGGAGGGGGAUAACUACUGGAAACGGUAGCUAAUACCGCAUAACGUCGCAAGACCAAAGAGGGGGACCUUGGGCCUCUUGCCAUCGGAUGUGCCCAGAUGGGAUUAGCUAGUAGGUGGGGUAAGGCUCACCUAGGCGACGAUCCCUAGCUGGUCUGAGAGGAUGACCAGCCACACUGGAACUGAGACACGGUCCAG